GGCGAACGCUGGCGGCGUGCCUAACACAUGCAAGUUGAGCGACGAACCAGGGCUUGCCCUGGGGCAAAGCAGCGAACGGGUGAGUAACACGUGGGUAACCUACCCCGAUAACCGGGACAACCCGAGGAAACUCGGGCUAAUACCGGAUGUGCUCACUGGACUUCGGUUCAGUGCGUAAAGGAAGCUUCGGCCUCCGUAUCGGGAGGGGCCCGCGGCCCAUUAGUUAGUUGGUGAGGUAACGGCUCACCAAGACCGCGAUGGGUAGCUGGUCUGAGAGGACGAUCGGCCACAGUGGGACGGAGACACGGCCCAGACUCCUACGGGAGGCAGCAGUGGGGAAUCUUGCGAAAUGCGCGAAAGCGUGACGCAGCAACGCCGCGUGGGGGAAGAAGGCCUUCGGGUUGUAAACCCCUUUCAGGAGGGACGAAGGUUCGGCGGUGAAUAGCCGGCCGGACUGACGGUACCUGCACAAGAAGCCCCGGCUAACUACGUGCCAGCCGCCGCGGUAA
rnacentral:rRNA from 1 species